AUGUGGCCCCAGGCCCCUCAGACACAGCAUGCAGUGGUGCUGACGGGCUCUGAGCGGGGCAUACAGGUAUACAGUGACCUGCCCAAGGAGGCUCAGCCUCAUGUCGCUUCAGUAUCUCAACAGAAGAACCUUGAAGGCUAUGUGGGAUUUGCCAAUCUCCCAAAUCAAGUAUACAGAAAAUCAGUUAAGACAUCUGGUUUUGAAUUCACGCUAUGGUAGUGGGUGGAACAAUCCAAAGUUUUAAUCAAAGAAGGUGGUGUUCAGUUGCUGCUCACAAUAGUUGAUACCCCAGGAUUUGGAGAUGCAGUGGAUGACAGUAAUUGCUGGCAGCCUUACAAUCAGCUACAUUAAUAGUAAAUUUGAGGACUACCUAAAUGCAGAAUCUCGAGUGAAUAGACGUCAGAUGCCUGAUAACAGGGUGCAGUGUUGUUUAUACUUCAUUGCUCCUUCAGGACAUGGACUUAAACCAUUGAAUAUUGAGUUUAUGAAGCAUUUGCACGAAAGAGUAUCAUCUCACUUAUUGCCAAAGCAGACACACUCACACCAGGGGAAUGCUAACAGUUUAAAAACAGAUAAUGAAAGAAAUCCAAGAACAUAAAAUUAAAAUAUAUGAAUUUCUAGAAACAGAUAAUAAAGAAGAAAAUAAACUUGUUAAAAAGAUAAAGGACCAUUUACCUGUUGCUGUGGUAGGUAAUAAUACUAUCACUGAAGUUAAUGGCGAAACAAUCAGAGGAAGGCAGUAUCCUUGGGGUAUUGCUGAAGUUGAAAAUGGUGAACAUUGUGAUUUUACAAUUCUAAGAAAUAUGUUGAUAAGAACACACAUGCAGGACUUGAAAGAUGUUACUAAUAAUGUUCACUAUGAGAACUACAGAAGCAAAAAACUGGCAGCUAUGACUUAUAAUGGAAUUGAUAACAACAAGAAAAAAGGGCAGCUGACUAAGAGCCCUCCGGCACAAGUGGAAGAAGAAAGAAGGGAGCAUGUAGCUAAAAUGAAGAAGAUGGAGCUGGAGAUGGAGCAGAUGUUUGAGAUGAAGGUCAAAGAAAAAGUUCAAAAUUGAAGAACUCUGAAGUUGAGCUCCAGCGGCACCAUGAGCAAAUGAAAAAAUAAUUUGGAAGCACAGCAUAAAGAAUUAGAGGAAAAACGUCGUCAGAGGACGAGAAAGCAAACCGGGAAGCUCAACAACGUAUUUUAGAACAACAGAACUCUUCGAGAACCUUGGAAAAGAACAAGAAGAAAGGAAGAUCUUUUAAACUCUCCAUUGACCACCAGUUACGUAUUAGUUGCCAAUAUGCCAGCUUGGACAUCAGUGUUUGCUGGAUCCGUUUGACCAAUUUGAGCGUUUUAUCUAGAAUGAUGGAUUAAACAGCAUGACAAACAUUAUUUUUGUUGUUGUUGUUCUUGAUGGAGAUUAAGACGCCUUCAAUUGUCUAUAGGGUGUUGUGUGCUUAGUAACAGCUCUCCCUUUCCUACUUUUUCUUUUUCUUUUUUUAUUAAACAGAUUAUCUUCAGUUGAAUGCAAGAGAACAUUUUACUGUUGUACAAUCAUGUUCUGACGGUUUGAUUGUUUACAGGAUAUUCCAAAAUAAAAGGACUCUGGAAGGUUUUCAUUGAGGACAAAAGGCCAUAAUAUGAUGCAAACUACGCUUCUCUAUGAUAAUGAUAAUACAAAGGUUCCAUUCAGUGCAGCAUAUACAAUGAUGUAAUUUAGUAUAACACAGUUGACCCAUGUUUUGACACUUCCAUUGUUUAAAAACACACAUGGAAAAAAACCCCUACAUGCUUAUAGUGCACCCAGAGCUUUUUUAUAACACCCUCCUUUUGUUUGUUUGUUGUGGAUUCUUUAAAUAUAUAUUAUUCUCAUUUAGUGCCCUCUUUAGCCGGAAUCUCAUUAUUACUUCAUUUUUGUAAUAACAUUUAAUUUAGCUAGUGUCCAUAUAUUGGCCCUGCUAAAAUAGAAUAUAGCAUCUUUCAUACGGUAGGAGCCAACAAGGAAACUUUAACUCCUUUUUACACUUUAUGGUAAGUAGCAGGGGGAAAAAUGCAUGUAUAGAUCAUUUCCAGGCAAAAUUGUGAAGCUAAUGACCAACCUGUUUCUACCUAUAUGCAGUCUCUUAAUUUACUAGAAAUGGGAAUCACGGCCUCUUGAAGAGAAAAAAGUCACCAUUCUGCAUUUAGCUGUAUUCAUAUAUUGCAUUUCUGUAUUUUUUGUUUGUAUUGUAAAAAAUUCACAUAAUAAACGAUGUUGUGAUGUAAAAAAA